UCUGGAGGCUAAAGCCCCAGCCAAACUCUCUUUGGCUCAGGGCCAGCUCUUGAAGUCUGCAGCUUCCUGGCUUGAAAGCAUCCACAGAGGCAAAGCUUUGGCUCAGGAGUGCCCCGUGACUCCUGGCCAGAGGGAACCAGCAUUUGCAGCUUGUUCUAUUGCUCUCCCUCAGCCCAGAUUCCUGGCUCCUCUGCUCUCUUCCGGUGGUGAUGGCCUAGCCUGCUCAAGGGCAAAGCAGACAUCUAGCCUUUGGUGCCGCCGGCUGGGCAACGUUGAAACCCAUACUCUUGGCAUGUGAGCAGCCUCUGCUGCGCAUUCCCACGGCCACGACCUGAGCUGCAGCUCCACACCUCCCUCAUCAUCAUGGACUGAAGAGCUCUGAAACCAUGACCGAAAUAAAUGUCCCCCACCUUG
rnacentral:lncRNA from 1 species